GGACCCUAACUUUAGGUAUCUAUUUUGGAAAAUAAUGGCUUUACAUGUUAGAUGCUCCUAGUAGCCUGCUUAGUGAGAAUACUUAGAACAUAUUGUUAUGCUGUGAUGCCAUUAAAAAUAUCAGACCUGAAGUGUUUUCUGCAAGCGAAGAAGCUCCCACCAUCCAUACUUUUCUACAGAGCUUUCCAUCAAUGCUAGCAUUCAUCCUAUAUAACACGCAACUUCUUGAAAGAACACAUUGGAGAGAAAGGAACCUCUGACCCAAGAGAAAAAAAAAUGAACCUUUGUGUGCUGCCCUCCUGGGACAUGUGACGCCUUCUAUAAGUUGCCCCUUUGGAAUUUUUUGUUUGAAACCAGUGUUGAUAUCUGCAAAUAUCUCUUAUUUUGCCAGUUAUAAAAGACUGUAUGUCUGAUGGCUGGGAUGUGUGUAAGGAGGCCUUGGCUGGAGGGUCUUUGGGGAAUUCAAGGAGAGCGGAGAGGUUUUGGGCACCUCCCCAGUAUGCACCGAGGAAGGAGUCUCCAGAAUCAGUGAUGUACAGUAAGCAUAGGAAGACUCUCAUGCACACAGCUCUACUUCGCCUAAUGGAAUCAAGGGGAGAUCAAAGUAGCAUGCUUGCUUCAAACACUUUCAGAUAAAUUUGCUUUUUUUAUUUAAUGCUAUAUGUAAAUACAUAUUCCAAAAAAAAGGCACAAGUUAUUUUGAGAGCCUCAGUUCUUCUAGUCUAACUAGAAAUGCAUUACUAGCAUCUGAUUUUCAGAGGGAAGCUGCUCAGUGCUUUCUCAGAAUCAUGUUACUUUAAAGCGGGGGUAGCUAGCCUAUAGUGCAUGUGCCAUGUGGGCAGCCUUUGUAUGUGGCGUGCGGCAGAUCAGGGAGGGAACAGGCAGCCUAGCAGUAUACAAGACAAGAAGCAGAAAUCAAAGUAGCAGAUUGGGCAGGGAACAUAGAACAGAAAGCAGAUCAGCAGAUUGGCCAAAAGUAGUAAACUGGAGUGACACUAGGGGAGGGUGCAGGAUUAAGUUGUGGCACACCUGUCAAGAACACCCCAAAUUGUUGUUUACUAUUGAAAUUAACCAUCCAUCCAUCCCUCUAAAAUUUAAACCAGUUGCCCACAGCAGUGUCUAUCCAUAAAUCACAUUUUAAACAUCAUUUUUUUUUAUUUGCCAAAGCUUUGGCUUCCAUUUUAAUAUGGCAAUGCUAGCAUUUUAAGUGUAUUUUUUUGAGGCCUCUGGAGUGUUGUGGUGGAUAGGCACCAUAUAAAUAACAUUUAUUGUUAUUAUCAUUAUAUGUCACAUUCACUCUGUUUUGCUACCAUUUAAUAAACCAUUCAAGCAAUGUUGUUGCAAUGUAUAAUAUUAGCAAUAUGCUCCUUAGGGGACUAUAUAACUGGAUAUUUAAUAUUCUAUCUGUUUCCCAGCCCGUCUUUACACCAGCACAGAUGCUACAUAGCGUUCAAAGUUCAAUGUAAAAAAAAAUGGCGUGGGUAUGCAAAGAUCAAAAAAUCCUACAACACACACUGUUGUAACUCACAAAAUGUACAUUGCUGUCAAAAUUCUGCUAGAUUAGAUAAUAUUCAAUUAAUGGAACUGCCUGUAGCUUUAGGGAUGUAAUUUCAUGCCCUUCCUCUGAUACUGUGUAUAGUGGUUUGUCUGUUUAAAAGCUGGCCUCCCUUUCCUUGCACUUGCAAUUAGCACUGUACCAAUCAGUAAUGUUUUGGUGUGGUAGAAAAAUCAAAACACUUGGAAAACCAAAUUGCGUAAGGAUGACCAGUAAUGAACAUGUUAUGGUUUUCUCACUGAAUAAAAACCCAAAGAAAAUGUUGUAUCACAGUGGAUGAAUCAUUUAACUCAACCUGAAAUAGAAUAUUUGGUUUUCAGUAUUUUUUUUUUUAAUUUGUUCUACAUUAAUGCCUUUAGUCACCCUGAAAAUGUGUGUUGUUUUUUUGUUUUUGUUU